AGUAAAGUCAGCUAAAUAAGCUUUCGGGCCCAUACCCCGAACAUGUUGGUUAGAAUCCCUCCUUUACUA
rnacentral:tRNA from 1 species